CACCGAAGCUGCGGGUGUCACGCAAGUGACGCGGUAGAGGAGCGUUCUGUAAGCCUGUGAAGGUGAGUUGAGAAGCUUGCUGGAGGUAUCAGAAGUGCGAAUGCUGACAUGAGUAACGACAAUGGGUGUGAAAAACACCCACGCCGAAAGACCAAGGGUUCCUGCGCAACGUUAAUCGACGCAGGGUUAGUCGGUUCCUAAGGCGAGGCUGAAAAGCGUAGUCGAUGGGAAACAGGUUAAUAUUCCUGUACUUCUGGUUACUGCGAUGGAGGGACGGAGAAGGCUAGGCCAGCUUGGCGUUGGUUGUCCAAGUUUAAGGUGGUAGGCUGAAAUCUUAGGUAAAUCCGGGGUUUCAAGGCCGAGAGCUGAUGACGAGUCGUCUUUUAGAUGACGAAGUGGUUGAUGCCAUGCUUCCAAGAAAAGCUUCUAAGCUUCAGGUAACCAGGAACCGUACCCCAAACCGACACAGGUGGUCGGGUAGAGAAUACCAAGGCGCUUGAGAGAACUCGGGUGAAGGAACUAGGCAAAAUGGCACCGUAACUUCGGGAGAAGGUGCGCCGGCUAGGGUGAAGGAUUUACUCCGUAAGCCCUGGCUGGUCGAAGAUACCAGGCCGCUGCGACUGUUUAUUAAAAACACAGCACUCUGCAAACACGAAAGUGGACGUAUAGGGUGUGACGCCUGCCCGGUGCCGGAAGGUUAAUUGAUGGGGUUAGCGCAAGCGAAGCUCUUGAUCGAAGCCCCGGUAAACGGCGGCCGUAACUAUAACGGUCCUAAGGUAGCGAAAUUCCUUGUCGGGUAAGUUCCGACCUGCACGAAUGGCGUAACGAUGGCGGCGCUGUCUCCACCCGAGACUCAGUGAAAUUGAAAUCGCUGUGAAGAUGCAGUGUAUCCGCGGCUAGACGGAAAGACCCCGUGAACCUUUACUGUAGCUUUGCACUGGACUUUGAGCCUGCUUGUGUAGGAUAGGUGGGAGGCUUUGAAGCGUGGACGCCAGUUCGCGUGGAGCCAUCCUUGAAAUACCACCCUGGCAUGCUUGAGGUUCUAACUCUGGUCCGUAAUCCGGAUCGAGGACAGUGUAUGGUGGGCAGUUUGACUGGGGCGGUCUCCUCCUAAAGAGUAACGGAGGAGUACGAAGGUGCGCUCAGACCGGUCGGAAAUCGGUCGCAGAGUAUAAAGGCAAAAGCGCGCUUGACUGCGAGACAGACACGUCGAGCAGGUACGAAAGUAGGUCUUAGUGAUCCGGUGGUUCUGUAUGGAAGGGCCAUCGCUCAACGGAUAAAAGGUACUCCGGGGAUAACAGGCUGAUACCGCCCAAGAGUUCAUAUCGACGGCGGUGUUUGGCACCUCGAUGUCGGCUCAUCACAUCCUGGGGCUGAAGCCGGUCCCAAGGGUAUGGCUGUUCGCCAUUUAAAGUGGUACGCGAGCUGGGUUUAGAACGUCGUGAGACAGUUCGGUCCCUAUCUGCCGUGGACGUUUGAGAUUUGAGAGGGGCUGCUCCUAGUACGAGAGGACCGGAGUGGACGAACCUCUGGUGUUCCGGUUGUCACGCCAGUGGCAUUGCCGGGUAGCUAUGUUCGGAAAAGAUAACCGCUGAAAGCAUCUAAGCGGGAAACUUGCCUCAAGAUGAGAUCUCACUGGGAACUUGAUUCCCCUGAAGGGCCGUCGAAGACUACGACGUUGAUAGGCUGGGUGUGUAAGCGUUGUGAGGCGUUGAGCUAACCAGUACUAAUUGCCCGUGAGGCUUGACCAUAUAACACCCAAACA
rnacentral:rRNA from 1 species